rnacentral:rRNA from 1 species
UACAGGGGGCGCGAGCGUUGCUCGGAAUCACUGGGCGUAAAGCGUACGCAGGCGGACCGUUAAGUCGGAUGUGAAAUCCCAGGGCUCAACCCUGGAAGUGCAUUCGAUACUGGCGGUCUCGAGUACGGGAGAGGAGAGCGGAAUUCCUGGUGUAGCGGUGAAAUGCGCAGAUAUCGGGAGGAACACCUAUGGCGAAGGCAGCUCGCUGGGACGUUACUGACGCUGAGACGCGAAAGCGUGGGGAGCAAACAGG